GAUGCUAUGAUGAGAUGAGACACCAGUUAGGUGUUGUAUAGAAGGCAGUGGAAGGGACAACAAUAUAUAUCCCCCCGUGAGCCUAAUUACUAUUAAACGACUUUUCCAUCUACUGAGCACC